UCGUUGGUGGUCCAGUGGUUAGGACUCUGCACUGCCACUGCAGGAGGCCUGGGUUCCAUCCUUGGUUGAAGAA
rnacentral:tRNA from 1 species